rnacentral:rRNA from 1 species
AUUGAACGCUGGCGGCAGGCCUAACACAUGCAAGUCGAACGAGUGGCGGACGGGUGAGUAAUGUCUGGGAAACUGCCUGAUGGAGGGGGAUAACUACUGGAAACGGUAGCUAAUACCGCAUACCAUCGGAUGUGCCCAGAUGGGAUUAGCUAGUAGGUGGGGUAAAGGCUCACCUAGGCGACGAUCCCUAGCUGGUCUGAGAGGAUGACCAGCCACACUGGAGCUGAGCCACGUUCCAGACUCUUACGGGAGGCAGCAGUGGGCAGUAUUGCACAAGGGUCGCAAGCAGGAAGCAGCAAUGAGGCGUGUAUAAAGAGGGCCGUCCGGUUGUAAAGUACUUUCAGCGGGGAGGCGUUACCAGCAGAAGAAGCACCGGCUAAAACCGUGCCAGCAGCGCGGUAAUAC